AAUACCCGGGUGUUCUGACGGUCCCAAAGAAUAAGCACCGGCUAACUUCGUGCCAGCAGCCGCGGUAAUACGAAGGGUGCAAGCGUUACUCGGAAUUACUGGGCGUAAAGCGUGCGUAGGUGGUUGUUUAAGUCCGUUGUGAAAGCCCUGGGCUCAACCUGGGAAUUGCAGUGGAUACUGGGCAACUAGAGUGUGGUAGAGGAUAGUGGAAUUUCCGGUGUAGCAGUGAAAUGCGUAGAGAUCGGAAGGAACAUCUGUGGCGAAGGCGACUAUCUGGGCCAACACUGACACUGAGGCACGAAAGCGUGGGGAGCAAACAGGAUUAGAUACCCUGGUAGUCCACGCCCUAAACGAUGCGAACUGGAUGUUGGGUUCAACUUGGAACCCAGUAUCGAAGCUAACGCGUUAAGUUCGCCGCCUGGGGAGUACGGUCGCAAGACUGAAACUCAAAGGAAUUGACGGGGGCCCGCACAAGCGGUGGAGUAUGUGGUUUAAUUCGAUGCAACGCGAAGAACCUUACCUGGUCUUGACAUUCCACCGAACUUUCUAGAGA
rnacentral:rRNA from 1 species